UACGUAGGUGGCAAGCGUUGUCCGGAUUUACUGGGCGUAAAGAGCGCGCAGGCGGUCGUUCAAGUCGCGUGUGAAAGCCCCCGGCUCAACUGGGGAGGGUCACGCGAUACUGAUCGACUCGAAGGCAGGAGAGGGAAGUGGAAUUCCCGGUGUAGUGGUGAAAUGCGUAGAUAUCGGGAGGAGCACCAGUGGCGAAGGCGGCUUCCUGGACCGAUUACUGACGCUGAUGCGCGAAAGCUAGGGGAGCAAACGGG
rnacentral:rRNA from 1 species